rnacentral:lncRNA from 1 species
UUUUAUGUGUCGACGUGAAAUGACAAAACUACCCCCCAUAACGGUAUGGGAUUUACAAAGAGAUCAAAUGGAUGGCGUCGCGUUGUGAUUUCAAUUGAACCAUCCAGAAUCUCUGAGCGUCGAGAUUUCGAUCAAACGGCCUAGAGUCCCGGAGCUUCCAAAAGCGUCAGUUUCUUUCAAUUCUUUACCUUAGGAUGCCCUAACAACAUACUACAUACAUAUACAUGAUACAGUAUGAAUACGUAUUUUUACUUUACUAAUACGGAUCCCGAUCGCACGCAGCUCACGUGGUGUACAAAGAGACCCAGCCCAGCCCAAACCACCGGAGAAAAAAGAAAAAGAAAAAGAGAAAGAAAAAAAAAAGGGCGCAGAACCGCAGCGCACCAAAAAGUGUACCCACCCCCAGCACGCCCCCCGGCACACGCGAUACCCACCCGCAACGCCCCUGCCGCGAACAGAGCNNNN